CAGCACUGGCUGUAGCUGGGAGCAUGAGGCAGGCAAGCAGAGAGGAGGCUGCUGGACUGUAAUCCUGUUUGUGUUUCUUUACAGUUUCGAGAUGGUAAAUAAGAUUUAAGGAAUGAAUAAAGAAUAUGUUGACAAAACACAUCAAGGAAGGAUCCAACCUUUGCCCUAUCAACAUCUUCAUUUCCAUGAUGGAAAGCAUACUUUUUGCGAACAGGGGCUGCUAACAGGGAGUUUCACAAGGGAGUUCUCCAGGUAAAGGAGGAGCAAAUACAGGACCCUUGGGUAACUGAAAUUGGGAUUUUUUUUCUGCUGCUCCCACUGGAGUCCCUGAGAACAGAAUCAAAUCCAAAUCCACGAUCUACCAUUUCUAUUGUGUGCAAAGGGUACAUCUAUACUACCCGCUGGAUCGGCGGGUAGUGUUCGAUGGAUCGGGGAUUGACUUAUCACAUCUCGUCUAGACACAAUAAAUUGAUCCCCGAAUCGACGCCUGUACUCUACCUUGUCAGGAGCAGUAAGCGGAGUCAACAGGGGAGCCGCGGUGGUCGAUUCGCCGCCGUAAGGACAGCCAGGCAACAAGCCAUUUGGAGGUGGUCAUUCUCCUUUGACCAAUCUUCUGCUUCAUGUGCUUAUGAAGCGUCUGGCUGUACUGGUUAUGAACCGCUGUUAAGUGGGGACAAACACAAAUCUAUCUGUGAUUAAUUCCACAUCAAAAGCAGUGACAGCCUUUCUUGGUCAAGUCCUGUGACGGGCCUGGAUUAUUUCAUGCAGCUUGAUUCUCUGAGCAACUUUGAACUGUCCUACCUCAGUUGGACCCAGAUCACGACCCAUUUGAAAAUGAUCUUUAACAAACAGCUGGCCAACCCUUUUACUUCUCUGGCCAGACUCAUCCUCCCCCCCGCUAUUGCUCAUUUCUCCUUAGCCUGCAUGUUCUCUAACAUCUUUCCGCCUUUGGACUCUGAUCCUCCUGUUGGGAAGGCAGAACAGUGCACAGAUUCUUCCGACUGCUGGCUAGGCUCUGAGGCAGCCAGAAUGUUUCCUAGGGGAUGAAGGACUUCAGAGCAGCCCAAAUAUCUGCAAGAAGCACAAGGAGCCUCUUUGUGCCUAGCUGUGAAGCAGUCUUAAAGGAAGAUUUCAAAGGCCUUGUGUGAGUGCAAAUGAGCCCUCCCCAUGCCACCAGAUAAGAAUACCAAUACCAGGGGUCUCCCACAUUGCAUGUGAGUACCUUAACUACUGAGCUAAAAGGAAUGAAGGAGGUCCUAGUUUCUCAUUCCCUCCCCCAACCCUGUGUGGCCAUUUUUUGUGGAGUUAUGAGCCUGUCUGCAGGGCUUAAUAUGGUAGAUGUGCUCAGAGGCUGUCUAUCUCUCCCCCCCCCCGAGUUUAUGAAUUGCACUAGGGCUUAGGCACUUGGCGUGAGGCAGAAGCCCACCUGUUCAGAGGCAGAAACAUGGGCACUUUUACUGCAAAAAGUUUAAGCUCCAAGUGAGUCUAGACACUUAUAGGGUUAGGCAGCAGCUGAGUGGGGGGUUUGUGUAUGAAUACCAAUGGUGAAGAUGCACACUUGGUGUCUGUGAGUGACAACUAUUCUGCCAGCUUGCUUCCUGAUAGGUGGAAUGGAUAUUGUGUGUCUUAGGUGUAGGAUAGGAGAAGAGAGAUUAAAAAAUAUAUAAAUAAUUUUCCUUCAUUUAUCUAGGUAUGUGUCACAGUGGGUAUGUACUGGUAUCUCUUCACUUUUUUACCUUUAUGUUGUUGGCCUUUCAGUGGAGGGACCAUGUCUUGCUCCUCUUUUGUAUAGUGCCUAGCACAGGUAGGCACCAAUCCUAACUGGGUGUUACCACAAGAUAAAUUGUGAUUAAAAAUAGUAAUUUUGUAACAAAAUUUAUUUUUGCUCUGUAGAUACAAAUCCAAAACAUCAACAAACAAAAUUCCAGUGGAAAAAUACUAGCCAUUAACAAUGAAAACUUAUUUAAUAAAUAGAACUUUGGCAUUCAAAAUUCUAGCUGUAAACCCUACUAUAAAAAAAUUACAAAAAGAGGCAAUAACCACAGAGCUAAAGGUGAGCCACCCAGUGGCGCCUUUUACUUUUUACACUGAAUGCAUUUUGAUUAAGUCAUGACAACUCUAUUUACACAUGAGGUAUUCUGAGCGGUUCGAAAACAGAACCCAAUUUACAUAACUACCAGCCUUUGGGGACUAAGCCAGUACAUAUGUCAGCUGUGCUUUUAAAAGUUAGACUCAGCCCCUACUCUCCACUGAUUACCAAUGAGAUAUUGUAGUUAAUAUAUACAAAAUUAUCAUUUUGAUUGAAUUUCCUGCACACUCUUCCUGUCAGAAAAACUGGACUGCUAAAAUCACCUAACUUACAAGAUGUAUACCUAGUACCUAUAGCAUUUAGUACAUAUUUCUAGAUAUUAUGUAAGAGGCUCCUUAAUGUCAAGGCCUAAAAACAAAAGAUCUGAAGUUAGAGCAAACAAGGUGCAAUAAUUAUUGACAUUCUUCUAGCUCAACUAAAAUUCAUUGGGACUAUAUACAUUUACUGAAGGCAAAAAAGGCACAAAGGUAUGCAGCAGUGGAAUUAAUACUGCUGAUCAGCUGUCAUACAAAAUCUGUUUAUAUAAUCUUCAAUAGCCAGUGGUUUGUUUUCAUAUUUUAAAAAUGUUGAUUGUUUGAAGCAAUCAAUUGAAAUAUUUCCCCAUGCAUCAGAAAAACCUGUUGUAUCAAUUCCAUUAAAAGAACAAAAUUCUAAUUCCAGUUACGCCCAUGCAGCCCACUUAUGUCAUUGAGGGUAACAUAAGUGAGGGCAAAAUUCAGGUGUCCCUGAAGAGGGAUUUCCAUCCUUCCUUGUACCCUCUUAUCUUUAAAAGAGCAAGCAGGAUAAUUUUUUCUUCUAACUAAAAGUGAUAAGAAAUCUUCAGAAGUGAGCAGAGCAAAAUAACUUUGGCUCUUACAGCUACAUCUAUUGGCAGUUUUAAAAUGUUGUUGCCUGAGUUGGUGGUUAUAGCAACCGCAAUAAAUUACAGAAGUACAUCACUAUAAACCUACACAUCUGAGGCUAAGAAUCUAAGUUAAGUUUGCACAAUUGAGCUGAACUACUUAUAUACAGUAAAUACAUAGCAUCUUUUAUAGCUUGCCCAAAGACAACUACUUUCCAAGCCAUUUUUAAAAUACAUUCUUGAAUACAGUAGUUAUUUACUGUAAGUAUCACCUAAAGGAUUGUAGAAAUUCAACUGAAACUAUACAAAAAUUGCUGUACUCGUUUCUCUGUAAGUCCACUAAUAGACAGAAUGGGACAGUAUCCACUCAUUAGACAUUUUUUUUUAGCCCUUGAGAUUGUCUCUAAGUUAUGGCAAAAAGUUGUCAUGACUAAAUCAGUUUCAGUAAUGCCACUGUUAACGUUUGUUAAUCAACCAUAUCAUAUUAAAUAUGUCGAAUGAGACCACACACACUCUACUUUUUAACCAGUUAAACAAUCAUGCAUAUCUUACUUAGACAAAGCUUAUUCUGUUUGGAGACAUCUGUAAACUGAUGCAUAUAUAACAAUAGCUCCUACAACAGCAGGCCCAAUUUUAAGAAAUCAAAGAAAAGGAAAAAUACUUAAUCUUUGUGGUCACUUAAUUCUAACCUUAUCAGUAAUUUGUAUCUUUGGCUCAUCACAUCUGCCAUUUCUCUCCCUGCUUUAAUUUGACUGAGGCAGAUAAACUCAGUAUUACUUUAAAAAUCAAGUGCUCUGUAUUUUAAUGUAAAUACAAUUGGUGCUCUAAUAUAACAGAGAAAAAAUGCAGAAUUACAGCAUCAUCAUUCACAAUAGUGCAACUAAAAAAAUAAAUCAAGACUUUCAUACUGGGAGAACCUUCUAUAAUACUUUUGAACCAUAGAACUUCUUUCCAAGGAUCUCUAAGUGCUUUAUAAACAUUAAUUUAUUAAUCACAACUCCCCAGUGCAGUAUCCCCAUUUUUGAGAUGGGGGAAACUGAGGCGCAGAGGUUAAGUGACCUGCUGAGCAUCACACAGGGAGGUCCUGGCACAGAUAAAAACAGAAUCUGCUGUUCCCUUCUUUAAUACUACACUACUACCCCUCCAAUAUGUGCCUACGCGAUUUAAAACAGCAGUACAUUUCCCUUUUAUAGGCUGAUUUUUUGUGUGUCUUUUCUGCUUAUUAAAGUAUGCUGUUGCUUAGACAUGGAUUGCCUCCCUUUUACCCCACCAAAUACUCUUAGUUGAUUGUCUGAAGUCAGUCAUGUUGAAUUCCUGACACUAGACAAAUUUGCUAUAAACACAGGAUGAUGACUUCACUUCAGGGCCAAGCAGAAAGAAAGUGAAAGUAAGUAGUUAUUAAAACUACUAAUCAAAACAGCAACCACUAAGUUAUAGGCAAAGAUUCCUUAUUUUCAGUUUUGCCCUAAUGUGAAAGUCCCUCUUUAAAGUUGUGUCAAUAAUUCUUCUACAAACUCCAAUUUUUAGGCAAUUAAAAAAAAAAAAAAAA